rfam:Ixodes scapularis strain Wikel colony gcontig_1107728583236, whole genome shotgun sequence.
GCAGACGUGGUCGAGUGGUUAAGGCGAUGGAUUUGAAAUCAAUUGGGGUCCCCCCGCACAGGUUUGAAUCCUGUCGACUGCG